rnacentral:rRNA from 1 species
CCUACGGGGGGCAGCAGUAGGGAAUAUUGCUCAAUGGGGGAAACCCUGAAGCAGCAACGCCGCGUGGAGGAUGAAGGUUUUCGGAUUGUAAACUCCUUUUGUUAGAGAAGAUAAUGACGGUAUCUAACGAAUAAGCACCGGCUACCUCCGUGCCAGCAGCCGCGGUAAUACGGAGGGUGCAAGCGUUACUCGGAAUCACUGGGCGUAAAGGGCGCGUAGGCGGGAUAGCAAGUCAGAUGUGAAAUCCUAUGGCUUAACCAUAGAACUGCAUUUGAAACUGUUAUUCUAGAGUAUGGGAGAGGUAGGUGGAAUUCUUGGUGUAGGGGUAAAAUCCGUAGAGAUCAAGAGGAAUACUCAUUGCGAAGGCGACCUGCUAGAACAUAACUGACGCUGAUGCGCGAAAGCGUGGGGAGCAAACAGGAUUAGAUACCCCAGUAGUC